rnacentral:rRNA from 1 species
UACGUAGGGUGCAAGCGUUGUCCGGAAUUAUUGGGCGUAAAGAGCUCGUAGGCGGUUUGUCGCGUCUGCUGUGAAAACCCGAGGCUCAACCUCGGGCCUGCAGUGGGUACGGGCAGACUAGAGUGCGGUAGGGGUGACUGGAAUUCCUGGUGUAGCGGUGGAAUGCGCAGAUAUCAGGAGGAACACCGAUGGCGAAGGCAGGUCACUGGGCCGCAACUGACGCUGAGGAGCGAAAGCAUGGGGAGCGAACAGG